rnacentral:rRNA from 1 species
ACUGCUCAGUAACACGUGGAUAACCUGCCCUUGGGUCCGGCAUAACCCCGGGAAACUGGGGAUAAUUCCGGAUAACGCACAUAUGCUGGAAUGCUUUAUGCGUAAAAUGGAUUCGUCUGCCCAAGGAUGGGUCUGCGGCCUAUCAGGUAGUAGUGGGUGUAAUGUACCUACUAGCCAACAACGGGUACGGGUUGUGAGAGCAAGAGCCCGGAGAUAGAUUCUGAGACAUGAAUCCAGGCCCUACGGGGCGCAGCAGGCGCGAAAACUUUACAAUGCGGGAAACCGUGAUAAGGGGACACCGAGUGCCAGCGUCAUACGCUGGCUGUCCGGGUGUGUAAAAUACACCUGUUAGCAAGGGCCGGGCAAGACCGGUGCCAGCCGCCGCGGUAACACCGGCGGCCCGAGUGGUGAUCGUGAUUAUUGGGUCUAAAGGGUCCGUAGCCGGUUUGGUCAGUCCUCCGGGAAAUCUGAUAGCUUAACUAUUAGGCUUUCGGGGGAUACUGCCAGACUUGGAACCGGGAGAGGUAAGAGGUACUACAGGGGUAGGAGUGAAAUCUUGUAAUCCCUGUGGGACCACCUGUGGCGAAGGCGUCUUACCAGAACGGGUUCGACGGUGAGGGACGAAAGCUGGGGGCACGAACCGGAUUAGAUACCCGGGUAGUCCCAGCCGUAAACGAUGCUCGCUAGGUGUCAGGCAUGGCGCGACCGUGUCUGGUGCCGCAGGGAAGCCGUGAAGCGAGCCACCUGGGAAGUACGGCCGCAAGGCUGAAACUUAAAGGAAUUGGCGGGGGAGCAC